UACAAUGGUUGCAAUAUACUUGUUCACCAAGUUUUACCUGAUGCAGUUCUUGGUCAUCAAGCAAACCAAAUCUAUAAAUAGGGUGCAAGCUUCAUUUUAAGGGACAACCAAAUCAACACUCAAUCAAUAAUACAAACACAAUGUCUUAGAUUAAUUUUGUUUAAUUCAACAGCCCUUUUAUUUUUCAUCAGUCAAUUUUAGUUUCUCCCAGCAAAUAGCUUUCAAUUUCAUCGUGUUGAUGAAUCCCAAGAACCAAGGAUGAGUCUGAAAGAGAUCUAAACGCUGAAAGCCAAGAUAUGGAAGUAAGAAGAAUUGCACUGGAUGUUUAAAUAUGUACAAAGCCUGUGCAACUUGGUACUAUAGAUUACAGAGUGCAUGGCCCAUGUAUCAAGACCCUACAAUUCUCUAUGCCUUGUGCAACCUUUUGUACAAAGGAAAUCCAAGGAAUAAGAACAACAGACUAUUACACGGCCCAAAAUUGUGCAAAGGAGGGAAAAUACAUGGGUAAUGUAAAGACUCCAUAUAAGAAUUUCAAUUUGACUUUUCUCGUAUAAGGAGGACUUCUAAGGUAAUAAGGACUUUGAAACAAGGGAUUUUACACCAAAUAUAAAUAUAAUGAGUCAGGACUAAAGGAGGGAUUGAAUUUUUACGUUCAAGCAGGCACUUUACUUUUGUGAAGACCAAUGAAGAGAUUGGUUUGACAAGAUUGCUAUAGGAGAUUUCUAGCUAAAGUUCCAAAAGUCCAAAGCUGCAAUUCUCAUUUUAGGUGUUUUUUAUUCUCAUUUCUUUUUAUGUCUUCUCUUUAUUUUUAUUCAACCUUGAUUGUAAAGCUCACCAUGUGUGAGUAGUUUUGUUAUUCUAGGAUUAGGGAUAUAGCACUUUCAAUUCAGUAAUGGAUUUUAAUUGAUUUUAUUUUAAUAAAUUGGGAUUUCUUUUUGUGAUUCAA